AAAUAAUAAUCACAGUUCCAUCUUUUAAAGUUUUUUGAAAUUAUAUAAUUAUUAUAUAUGCUAUAGUUUAUAUAUGAAAUCGUGAAAAUGACAACACUCGUGCCAAUCCUGUGGACUUUCUCUGUAAAAAAACAUACUUCGUUUAUUUUGAUUUUGUAAUUAUCAGGAGGGUGAACGUAUACUUUAGACUUAACUUUAGAAAUGGCGUUCGAACAUCCAUUUGCUUGCAGAUUAGAUUGGCAUGAAUCAUUAACUUUUCGAGUACAUAUUUAAUGUAAGAUAAAUUUUGAGUGCUCCUCGAAACCUUUUUCGCGGUUUUACAAAUUGUAAUGACUCCUCCUAUUUUGAGAAUUUUCAUUUUCAUUAUUGGUUUUAACAAAAA